rnacentral:lncRNA from 1 species
CUCCAACUGGGACUGUGUGACUGCUCCAUGGAUGACCUUUGGGUAUCACAGGGCCAAAACCCCAUCAUCAGAUCAUGCUAAUAAUUCCAUUUUGUAAACAUGAGUCCUAUGAAGAGCCACAAGGCUUGACUACACUUGCUCAGAUCACCAGUUCCCACACUUUCCUUACCCCCUUCUCUAUGCCUCGGAUUGCCUUGUUCUUUUAUCCCAUGAAUGUCCCUCAACCCUGUCUUUGGAGAGUUGGGUUUGGGAUCUCUUCUCCUGUCUUCUUGCUUUGCUGCCUCGUGAAUAAACCCUUUCUUUGCUGCAAACCUCAUCACAGUGAUUGGCAUACUGUGUGACAGGCAGAACAAGCCUGGCUGGGUAACAAACUCACUGGAAUAUCAUAUACAUUAAUAGCAACAAACAGAUGUUUGAAAUUAUCAUUAUAGUUUCAUGGUCCUCAGAAAGAGAUUUAACCUUAACUAUGUCCAGUGUCAUUGUAGCUGGGGAGGGAGAGACUUCUAUUGCAGCAGAGCAACCAGCUGUGUGUGACCGUGGAGGGACCAUGUGGUUGACUGGCUUUGUUCUGGAUCAGCAAGUACUUCUCUAAGGGGACUGGAGAGACAAGAAGGAAGAGGGCAUUUCUCUCUCCUCUCUUGCUUUCAUUGCUGCCGGAUUCUGCACACUGGGCGCUGCCAGGCUGUGGCUGCUCACGCCUGUGGGGAAAACAGUGCCCUGUGUCUGGUCCAGCCAGUUCACCCGGGAGCCUGAUGUUCAAUUUGAUGAUUCAUGGCUUCCUUGCCUGGGGAAUUUUCAGAUUGAAAGAAAGACACCUGACAGAUUUAUGGAUGUUUUAAUAAACACAGGCAAGGCAAAGUUGGCUUCUGAGCUAACACAUGGAUAUAAAUACCAGACUGAUAAAACCUGGAAAGCACAGGCCGUUCUAAUGAUCCGCAGAGGCUGCUUUGGCUGUGCUGUUUCAGGUGGUGCUUCGCAGGGUGGGCCAGCAGCAGCAGAAUCUCCUGGGAGCCUCACAGAAAUGCACAAGCUGGGUGCGUUGGCUCACACCCGUAAUCCCAGCACUUUGGGAAACUGGGGUGAGAGGACUGUUUGAGCCCAGGAGUUUGAGGCUGCAGUGAACUAUGAUCAGGCCAUUGCACUCCAGCCUGGGCAACACAGUGAGACCCUGUCUUAAGAAAAAAAUGGAAAUGCACAUUCUUGGGCCCCAUCCUAGACCUGCUGACUUGGAAAUUCUGGGGGUGAUACCCAGCAA